CAUCUUUCUCGCUUAUUAUCCUUUUUACCUUUCCUUUUAUAUAUCACUCAUACCUUCUUCUCAUUCUACACCACUAUUGAUGGUUGAUUCAUUUGAAGAGUGUACAUGAUUUGAUGGCAAAUUUACCAACUUUGUGAGGAUUUGAGCUUAUGAGCAACCACUUUGCUCUAAUUAUUUUUGUUAUGUGAAUAUCAAUCUUAGUUUGUUUAUUCUAGAACUUGUUUUGUUAUGCAUGUUGAAGCCGCAUUACGGGAUUUUAUGCAUUAAAAUGAUAAGGGCAAACCACUUUCCAUUUUUCUAUUCUCACAUUUUUUUUUCUCUACCCGAAGACCUUUAUUUGCUAUCUUUGUUUGAGCCUUAACCAUUACCCAUCUAAUUCUCUCCGUCUACUUAACUAUUUUUCUUCUUUUUGAGCCUCAAUUUAAGGAGAUUUUUGUACUCAUUGUGUGGAUAUAUUUUGUAUAUAUUUUGUUGCUUUUUCUACCUUGUAUUAAAGUUUCUCAAUUAGAUCAACAAGCAUUAUGCUUGAAUUAAAUUGUGCAAGGUUCGUUUCUUUUGUUUGAUUAAAAAAAAAGAAUAAAAAAGAAAAGGAAAAAGAAAAAAAUGAAAAAUAUCUAAAAAAAUAAAAAGAAAAAAAAGUUUACAUUCUUGGUGACUUGAGUGGAAAUAAGCGUUUCGAUAUCAUAAGAUUCAUUCAAUGAGUUCAUUCUUCUCAUUUUGAUCUCUUUUUCUUUCAUAAACCUUUCUUUUUCAUUUAACCCAUUUAACCCCGUUACAACCUUUUUAAGACCCUUAGAUUUUUGCAUUUAAUUCAUGUUUUGUGGAUUGAGAUGUGAUAUAUAAGCAAGCUUAUGGUAAUAGCAUUCUUUGAUUUGAUUUGAGUGCAUAAAUGACACCCUAAACACUUUGAGUGCAUGGAGUGAAGUCAAUGAGAGGGCUAUUAAAUCUUGUUGCACUUGAAUUUUGAAUGGAUCUUCUUGGUGGUUGAAUGUUUUUAUUCUAGCUUAUGAGACUCUAUGCUUUAAAAUCCUUGUCACUCGACUAUUGAUCGACUUAAAUUCUUGAGGUAUGCUUGCUUAAGAUUGUUUUUGGAUGAGUUGAGAUGAGAAUUGAGUGGAUAUUUGGGAUUAAUCUUGAGUUAUAUGCUUGAGGACAAACAUCAUCUUGGUGUGGGGGAAUUUGUUAGAGUGCAAUUUAUGCACUAGUUUUGCAUUGUUUACUUCCCAUAAUAUCGAUGUUUUGCACUUAAUAAUAGUGAUUUACUUGUGUUUUAUUUUUGUAGGUGCAAUUCUAUUGAUUGAUGCUAAAAUUGCGUUACAAGAUGAUGUUUGAGGAUGAUUGUUUUUCUUGGAAAAUUUUGAGCGUCAGAAAAACUUUAUUGAUAAGGCGUGGGCGCGUGCUGUCAACUACAGACUUGCAGUUUUUUUAGUUUAACGUGUUUUGUAUUUUUUGUUAUUUUCGUAAUUACGAAUUUAAUAUUUCAGAUAUUAGUAUUUUAUUUUAAAUAGAAUUCUAGAGGAGAAGAGAGAGAGAGAGUAUUUAAUGUGAAAAAUGGGGGGACUUUUCGAGAAAAGAAAGAAACCUUAGAUCUAAAUUUUUCUCUUCUCUUUAUGAAGAACUAAACCUAUUAUUCUGGUAUGAAGCUUUGAUUCAUCACUACUGUGAGAUCUUUCUUAUGCUUUAAUUAUUUUAUUACUUUUUGGGUAUUUGUUUAUUCUCUGAAUUAUUAUCAUGAUUAUGUUUGUUAAUUAGAUAAUUGGCCACUAUUUAAUUAUCAACUUAAUCUAUUGUCAAUUAAAGGAUUCAUCGUAUGAAGAUUUUAAUGUUUGUGACAAAUAACAUAGCAAAGAUUUGUGUUGUGAGAAUAAACAAUCUAAUUUAAAUGAACCAUCGUAUGUGUUUGUUGAUUAGGAUUUGGGUCUCUCUGGUUUUUCAGGCUGUCAAUUGAUUAAAUCCUAUGAUCGUAUCUAGGGUUGUCUAUUGAUUAGGGAAAUAAACAACGGUCGUACCUUGGUUAUCGACUAGUUAAGGAGAGAUUGGCUAUUAGAGGGUCUCAGUAGUUAUAACCGGUCUAUUAAUAAGUAGUAAUAAUUUAUAUUUGAAUAAAUGAUCAGUAGUCGAAUCAAGCUGAGUUAAUUCCUUCAACCAGAGCUUUCUCCAAUUUGAAUUACAACUUUAAUUUGCAUUCUUGUUAUUUUAAUUUGAUUUCUAUUAUUGUCAACAAUUCCCCCAUUUUACGUUUUACAUUUUAAAAGGAUUUAAAUAAUUACCGAUCUCUGUGGACACGACCCUGCUCAAUCACUAUAUACAAUUUAUUUAGAGUAGGUAUUUAUUUUUGCUGGCUUCGACAACCAUCAGAUGUCGACCUGAGUCGGUUGAAAUAUUAUAAUUUUUUACCACGCAUGUAUUUUAAUUUAGUAGCAGUGUACUUUUAAUAUUUAAAUAAAUAUUAUUUCGUCUUCAUCAAGUACUGUUCAUAAUAAUUGACCAAUAGUAGAGACUCAUGAAUGAAUGGCUAAUACAUCGGAAUAGCAAAAGGUUGAAUAUUUUAUGUUGUCUAACUUGGGGAGGUGGAGCCCAACAGUUGUACUGACAAGGUGAAUGAGAUAAAUCAACUUGUUGAACCCCGCCAAGAGUAGCCCAAUAGUUUUAAAUGCGGUGAGGGCUCUAUAUCGUUUUAAUCCAAAAGAUUCAAUAUUGUGAGACUUUAAACUAACAUUCAAUACCAUGAGGUUAAAAAUGUUGACAAACCUAUCAAGAUAACGCAAAGAUAAGUGACCUCCUAUUUACAUUAGGGUGAAUACAUUGAGAUAUAUUGAGAUGAGCUUAUGUGAACUGUUUUACCAAAUUUCCAUUAUAAUCCAAAUUCAAAUUGAUUGGACAGUUCUCGCAGGGUCUAGCUCAAAUCCAAUAUUUGAGGAUAGUUUGCGCUAAGUUUGAACAUGACCUAACUCUCUCAUCCGCAAACCCAACACCUCCAAGCCUCCAACAAAAGCCAAAGAUUAAAGAACAAAAGCCAAUAAUUGCCACUAGGUGGUGACCUAAAAUGAUUUGCGUGGUGAGUUGAGGUGAUUAUAUGGGGAAUAAUAUGGAGAGCUUAGUGGAGUUUAUAUGAGCAAAUUUAAGGAGUUUAUAUGUGGAGUUGAUGUAAGAUCAAGAUAGCUCAGAUGAGCUGAAGGGACAACUCCAGUGAUCUUGUAGAAUACUUAUGUUGCGUUUACUUAUUAGAGUUGGAAUAGGAGUGUGACUUUUUUCCACUUCAGUAUUUACUUGCUUAUUUAAGGAGGGGAGUAGAAGUCUCGCUCCGUGGGUUCCACUUAUUUUUGGAUUGUAGAGUGGGAUUCCCACUCCAUGAGGAGAGGUGGGAGUGGGAAUCCACUUCUUCCUCUUCCUUUUUGCCCUUCCUUUAUUAAAUAUAAUAUAAUUAUAUUUAUUAAAAUAAAAUAAUGUUAAAAUUACUU
rnacentral:lncRNA from 1 species